rnacentral:rRNA from 1 species
CAGCCAUGCCGCGUGCAGGAAGACGGUCCUAUGGAUUGUAAACUGCUUUUAUACAGGAAAAAACACUCCCUCGUGAGGGAGCUUGACGGUACUGUAAGAAUAAAGAUCGGCUAACUCCGUGCCAGCAGCCG